ACUAGAACUUUAUUGUCACUGGUGAUAUGGACUGUUCCAGAACGGAAUGGUGACACAUUAUAUACUGUGUCUGUUAGUGUACCUGUAUUACUACUGAUUUGUUUUAGUUGCUUUCCAUCAGUAGAUAUAAGUAGAUUAUUUGAUUGAGUAACAGCCAUACCAUAAACCUCCAUAUUAAAGCUGGAUAGUAUGUUCAGUUUGGUUCCUUCUGGUUUUACUCUCUGUAAUACUUCAUCUCUUGCACUAUAUAUCCACAGUGAAUCAUCAUGGCAAUAAGACAUA
rnacentral:lncRNA from 1 species